rnacentral:lncRNA from 1 species
UUUUUUACACGACUUGACUUAAAAAUAUUGAUAUGAUCUAUAGCACAAUGCGAACAAAUAUAGUGUGUUGUAUAUGAAUAUUUCAAUCAAAGGCUAGUCGAGGUCGUCUGCUCCAUGGAGAAUGAUGGUCAGACUUCCAUUCCUGAUAAUCCCCUUCUUCACCAUUGCCACGAACAUCCCCUAGUCAAUUUGAACAUCCUAAUCAAAUGUAGACAUGAUCAAUUUGCAUUUUAGAUUUGUAGUAAUUAGCGUAAUAGUAUAGACUAAUCAACAGAGUUAAUUGAAACUAAUUAAUUAAUUUGAGAUGGUGACUGCACUGAAUAAACAUACGCAUGUUCUCAUUGCCGACCUCCCUGAUGAUGUCGCGAUACCGACGUCAGCUUGUAUGUUGUACUCCCAGCACACCUCUUCCAGCAGGUCAACAGUGAUAUGCCCAGAUCAAGCAAGAAUAAUGACACCCCAGCUAUUUCCAUCGCCAACUC